GACGAACCGUGCGAACGUUGUUCGGAAUCACUGGGCUUAAAGGGCGCGUAGGCGGGCGGUCAAGUCAGAGGUGAAAUCCCACGGCUCAACCGUGGAAGUGCCCCUGAUACUGAUUGCCUCGAGGGAGGUAGGGGCGUGCGGAACUUCCGGUGGAGCGGUGAAAUGCGUAGAUAUCGGAAGGAACACCGAUGGCGAAAGCAGCGCGCUGGACCUUUACUGACGCUGAGGCGCGAAAGCCAGGGGAGCAAACGGG
rnacentral:rRNA from 1 species